GACGAACGCUGGCGGCGUGCUUAACACAUGCAAGUCGAACGGAAAGGCCCUGCUUUUGUGGGGUGCUCGAGUGGCGAACGGGUGAGUAACACGUGAGUAACCUGCCCUUGACUUUGGGAUAACUUCAGGAAACUGGGGCUAAUACCGGAUAGGAGCUCCUGCUGCAUGGUGGGGGUUGGAAAGUUUCGGCGGUUGGGGAUGGACUCGCGGCUUAUCAGCUUGUUGGUGGGGUAGUGGCUUACCAAGGCUUUGACGGGUAGCCGGCCUGAGAGGGUGACCGGACACAUUGGGACUGAGAUACGGCCCAGACUGCUACGGGAGGCAGCAGUGGGGAAUAUUGCACAAUGGGCGGAAGCGUGAUGCAGCAACGCCGCGUGCGGGAUGACGGCCUUCGGGUUGUAAACCGCUUUAGCCUGUGACGAAGCGUGAGUGACGGUAAUGGGUAAAGAAGCACCGGCUAACUACGUG
rnacentral:rRNA from 1 species